UGGCUCAGGGUGAACGCUGGCGGCGUGCUUAAGACAUGCAAGUCGAACGCAGUCUUCGGACUGAGUGGCGCACGGGUGAGUAACACGUAACUGACCUACCCCCAAGUCGCGGAUAACUGGCCGAAAGGUCAGCUAAUACGUGAUGUGAUGUCCCCUUUCUGGGGGGCCAUUAAAGGUUUACUGCUUGGGGAUGGGGUUGCGUUCCAUCAGCUAGUUGGCGGGGUAAAGGCCCACCAAGGCAACGACGGAUAGCCGGCCUGAGAGGGUGGCCGGCCACAGGGGCACUGAGACACGGGUCCCACUCCUACGGGAGGCAGCAGUUAGGAAUCUUCCACAAUGGGCGAAAGCCUGAUGGAGCGACGCCGCGUGAGGGAUGAAGGUUCUCGGAUCGUAAACCUCUGAAUCAGGGACGAAAGACGCGUAAGCGGGAUGACGGUACCUGAGUAAUAGCACCGGCUAACUCCGUGCCAGCAG
rnacentral:rRNA from 1 species